rnacentral:tRNA from 1 species
GGGAAUGUGGCUCAGUGGUAGAGUGCUUACCUAGUAUGUAGGAAGCCCUGGGUUCGAUUCCUCAGUACCA